rnacentral:lncRNA from 1 species
UGGAUCAGGGGAAUUUGAGGUUCUGUGCUGAUACAAUUUUGGGGAUCGGAGCCAAGAUACCCCGCCUUACAAGAUGAACUAGGGUUUCUACCUAUGCUAAGGAAUUUGGGGAAAUAAUGACUUGCCCUCCUUCACGCGACGCACGCUACAUAUAACCUUUCCAGCUCACGCUGUAUUCACCGACAGUCACUUAACGGUUACAACACAGUAAACGGUUUAAAACUACUGGAGACCGGCGAGGAUACAUCCGAGCCGUUGGAUCGCUUGAAACGCCAUCUUGCCAUCUCAGCCGUUGCUUGUCUGAAAACAGAGUUGGUGUCGAUCUUCAGUACGUCCGCGGUUCAGGGCCUGACAAUGCCGCCGCCAUGACAACCGCCUUGUCCUCGAGGCGAAAAAGCUUGUGACCUGGGAAUGUUUUGUUGAGGAAGGCUGCGUCUUCCCAAGUAGCAUCAUCAGGUGCAAGGCUCUCCCACUGUACUAAGCAUUGGCCAACCGGUUUCUUGUUGCGUUGAACCACCCUGCGGUCCAGCACAGCUAUAGGAAUAGUUUUGACAUAUCCUUCUCGGGUGACCAGUGGAACGUGCGGUAGAGGCACAGCUUGAUGUCCUACAUGUUUCUUGAGCUGGCUGAUGUGAAACACUGGAUGGAUGUUUGUGCCCUCUGGUAACUGCAGCUUAUAAGCAACUUCUCCAACUCUUUCUAAAAUUGUGUAAGGACCAUAGAACUUUGAUCGUAGUUUCAGUGAUUCUCUGAGACCAAAUGCCUUCUGUCUGUAUGGCUGGAUCUUGAGAUAUACCCUUUCUCCCACCUCAAAUGCUCUGUCUGUUCUGUGUCUAUCUGCAAAAUAUUUCAUCCUGUUUUGUGCAUGUUCCAAGUUGGCUUUCAGCUUUUGCAUCAUUUGCUCCCUUCCUGCCACUGUCAAUUUUGCUGCUGGAGACAAGGUUGUGUCAACAGCAAAUUCUCCUACUUGAGGUGGUUUGUACCCAUAUAAUGCUUGAAAAGGAGUACAUUUCAAGGAAGAAUGAUAACUGGUAUUGUACCACAAUUCAGCUAACGGCAGCACUUCAACCAUUUCUUUGGUUCUUGGAACACCAUCCCUCUCAAAUAUGCUUCUAAACAUUGAUUUACUCUCUCUGUCCAUCCGUUUGAGGGUGAGAAGCUGUACUGAAUCUGAUCUUCACCCCAAAUGCUUGGAACAAUUCUUGAUACAAUUUGCUAGUGAAAAUGGUGUCUCUGUCAGAAACAAUGCAGAUAGGCAGACCAUGUAAUUUGAUGACAUUGUCCAUUAGAGCUUCAAACACAGUUUGAACUGUGAAUGGAUGUGUCAGAGGUAUGAAAUGUGAGUAUUUGGUCAGUCUGUCCACCACCACUAGAAUGAUCUCUUUUCCCUGUGAAUUUGGCAAUGCGGUGAUGAAAUCCAUUGUUAUGUGUGCCCAGGCCAUAUCAGGCACUGGAAGUGGUUGUAACAAUCCAGGGGGAUGAAUGUGCUCAAUCUUGUUUAAUUGGCAAACAGGACACUGACUGACAAAUUCCUCUAUGUGCUUCUUCAUGUUGGGCCAAUAAAACACUUUCUUUAAUCUGUAGUAAGUAGCUUUACUACCAGAAUGUCCUCCCAAAGCAGAUGAAUGAAAUGUCUGUAGCAACUGCUUUCUGAAUUCAGUGCUUGCUCCUACAUAAAUCCUGUUUUUGUAUUUCAGCAGUCCUUUGUUGAGAGAGAACUUAGGGUUUUGAUCAGUAUCAGCAGCUACUUUCUUUAGUAGUUUAUCACUGUCCUGAUCCCCUAAAUAACUUGUGCUACAUCUUCAGUCCAUUUAGGAACUACCACAGUAACAUUAUUGCAUUGCAUUGUUUUUAGUAUCUCCUUCCUGGACAAUGCAUUAGCCACUACACUCUCCUUUCCUUUUUUAUAUUCAAUGGAAUAAUCAUACUCCAACAAUUUCAAGAGCAAUUUGUGUUGAACACCUUCUGUCAACCUUUGAGUUGUCAUGUAUUUUAGAGACCGCUGAUCAGUUUUGAUGAUCAACUUGUUUCCCCACACAUAAUGUCUCCACUUCUUAAGUGCUUCUAGUAGACCUCUACAUGAUAUGCUCAGAAAAGGUUUGUGAAGGACUAUGGAAAAAUCUGUAGACCUCUACAUGAUAUCAUGUAGAGGUCUACAGAUUUUUCCAUAGUCCUUCACAAACCUUCUGUAAUAUCCUGUUAAACCCAGAAAUCCUCUUAACUUUGUGGCAUUAUUAGGUUCUGGCCAAUCCAUGACAUCCUGAAUUUUGCUAGGAUCAGUGGAUACUCCUUGAUCAGAAAUCACAUGUCCUAAGUAAUGCACUUGAUUUGUUGCAAAGGUGCAUUUGGACAUUUUCACAUACAUUUCAUGCUUUCUCAAGGUUGCAAAGGUUCUUUCUAAAUGGGCAAUGUGCUCUUUUAAGGAUUUGCUGAAAAUGAGCAUAUCAUCAAAGAACACUAAUAUACAUUUCUUCUCCUCUGGUUCAUUGAUUUCUUCACACACAUUGUUCAUUAACCCUUGAAAAGUACCAGGGCCACCAGAUAACCCAAAAGGUACUACAGUGUAUUCAUAAUGCCCCAUGUGUGUUUUGAAAGCUGUCUUGGGAAUAUUCGCAGUGGACAUUCUGAUUUGAUGGUACCCAGAUCUUAAAUCCAGUUUGGAGAAUACCUUAGCUCCAUACAACUCAUCCAACAAAUCUUCAAUGAUGGGCAUAGGAAACUUGUUCUUGAUUGUGAUAGCAUUUAGUUCUCUGUAAUUCACACACAGUCUCCAUCCUCCAUCUUUCUUUCUAAUCAUAAUUGCAGGAGAAGAAAAAGGACUAAAACUUUCUUGUAUUUCUCCUUUUUUGAUUAACUGUUUGAUAAUUUCUUCCAUAGCAGCUUUCUGAUAGUGAGGAACUCUGUAUGGCCUCAGAUUUGGUGGUUUUGCUCCUUCUUGCAACACAAUUCUGUGAUCACAAGGUCUCUUGGGAGGUAAUUUCUGAGAAUCUUCAAAAAUAUCAGCAUAUUUUUGGAGCAGUGGUUGUAGAGCCACAUGAGGAGGAGUGUGCUAUUUGUUAUGUUCAGAUUCCAUCUCAUGUAUCUGCAAAAUAUAACCCAUCACACCUUUCUUGAGCAAUUUUUCCAAUUUAGCUGCUGAAAUCAGACACUUCUUCUUGGGUAUUGUGUAAUCAAACAAAGUGACUGGUUGUCCCUGCUUAGUGAGAAUCAACAAUCUCUCCACUAGAUCUAAACAAAUGGGACUGUAUUGGUAUAUCCAAUCAGCACCUAAUAUAAUGUCAUAAGACACUAGAUCCAGCACUUUGAAACUGCUCUGGAAAGUGUGACCCUGCACUUUAAAAUUCAUUUCAGGGAUUUUGGCUGUAGACAGAAGUUUUCCUCCUCCUGCUACUGUGACCUUUCUGGGAGCCAUUGGUUGUUGAUAGCAGUCACUUUUGAUUGCAAAUUCUGUACUCAUGAAAGUGUCUGAGGAACCACUGUCAAACAGAGCUGUUGCUUUUCUUCCAGCAAUUUCCAGUAUUAAGGAAAAGGUGUUUGGACCCGUUGUCCCUUUUGUAGCAUUUGCAGAAAUAUGCAUUGCUUGUGUAGGUUUUGAUGCAACUCCUUCAACCCCUUUUUCCUUAUCUGGAGUAUUAGGAGCUGUAUGAUAUACUUGCUCCUGGGCAGUGAUUUCCUCUGUACUUUCACUCAUCUACUUCUUGCAGAAUGUGUAGUGUUUUUCCAAUCUUACAUUUGUGAUGUCUUGUCCAUGGCUCUCUACAGUACCAGCAUGCCCUUGCAUCUUUGGGAAAAGGCACAGUGUACUUCUCUUGAGAUGGUACUUGCACUUGCAGUGGAGGAGGAGGUUGUUUGUAUGGCUGUGAAUAUGAUCUGGGUUUAUAUCCAACUGGAGCAGGUAAUUUUCUUGCUGCUGCAGCCUUUUCAUAAAUCUUUGCAUACCAGUAAGCUUCUAUAAUCCCAGUAGGUUUCUGUCCACAGACCUCAUGUUUAAUAUCAGGUUUCAGACCUCCAAUGAAACAAUUGAGCAGAAAAUUUUCUUGUAAGUAGGGAUGGUCUCUUUUAACCAAGGCUACACAAUGUUCAAACUCAUCAAUGUAGUUGGCUACUGAACUGCUCUGUUGUAUAUUUUUCAAUAACUCCACAGCUUCAUGGACACUGGCUUCAGAAAAUCUAUCUGCAAUCAUCUGACAAAACUGUUGCCAAGUUAUCAUUUGCCAAGGAACACAUAUGUUUUUCAGCCAGUUAGUGUUGGAAAUAUGCCCUAGAGGCAAUAAUAAAUGGUUAUUAUUAUUAUAUUUCUUUGUUCAUGGUAAUUGUCUAUUGUUCAUGCUAUAAUUGUAUUGUCCGGAAAUCGUAAUACAUGUGUGAAUACAUAGACCACAACGUGUCCCUAGUAAGCCUCUAGUUGACUAGCUCGUUGAUCAACAAAUAGUCAUGGUUUCCUGACUAUGGACAUUGUAUGUCAUUGAUAACGGGAUCACAUCAUUAGGAGAAUGAUGUGAUGGACAAGACCCAAUCCUAAGCAUAACAUAAAAGAUCGUGUAGUUUCGUUUGCUAGAGCUUUUCCAAUGUCAAGUAUCUUUUCCUUAGACCAUGAGAUCGUGCAACUCCCGGAUACCGUAGGAGUGCUUUGGGUGUGCCAAACGUCACAACGUAACUGGGUGACUAUAAAGGUGCACUACGGGUAUCUCCGAAAGUAUCUGUUGGGUUGGCACGGAUCGAGACUGGGAUUUGUCACUCCGUGUGACGGAGAGGUAUCUCUGGGCCCACUCGGUAAUGCAUCAUCAUAAUGAGCUCUAUGUGACUAAGGCGUUAGUCACGGGAUCAUGCAUUGCGGUACGAGUAAAGAGACUUGCCGGUAACGAGAUUGAACAAGGUAUUGGGAUACCGACGAUCGAAUCUCGGGCAAGUAACAUACCGAUUGACAAAGGGAAUUGCAUACGGGAUCGAUUGAAUCCUCGACACCGUGGUUCAUCCGAUGAGAUCAUCGUGGAACAUGUGGGAGCCAACAUGGGUAUCCAGAUCCCGCUGUUGGUUAUUGACCGGAGAGGCGUCUCGGUCAUGUCUGCAUGUCUCCCGAACCCGUAGGGUCUACAAACUUAAGGUUCGGUGACGCUAGGGUUGUAGAGAUAUGUGUAUGCGGAAACCCGAAAGUUGUUCGGAGUCCCGGAUGAGAUCCCGGACGUCACGAGAGGUUCCGGAAUGGUCCGGAGGUGAAGAAUUAUAUAUAGGAAGUCAAGUUUCGGCCACCGGGAAAGUUUCGGGGGUUACCGGUAUUGUAUCGGGACCACCGGAAGGGUCCCGGGGGUCCACCGGGUGGGGCCACCUAUCCCGGAGGGCCCCAUGGGCUGAAGUGGGAGGGUAACCAGCCCCUAGUGGGCUGGGGCGCCCCCCAUGGGCCUCCCCCUGCGCCUAGGGUUGGGAACCCUAGGGUGGGGGGGCGCCCCACUUGCCUUGGGGGGCAAGUUCCCCCCCUUGGUCGCCGCCCCUUGCCCUAGAUGGGUUGUGGCCGGCGCCCCCCCUCCUAGGGGGCCUAUAUAAAGGGGGGGGGAGGGAGGGCAGCAACAUCUCAGCCUUGGGCGCCUCCCUCCUCCCCUGCAACACCUCUCUCUCUCGUAUAAGCUCGGCGAAGCCCUGCCGACAUCCCGCUGCAUCCACCACCACGCCGUCGUGCUGCUGGAUCUUCAUCAACCUCUCCUUCCCCCUUGCUGGAUCAAGAAGGAGGAGACGUCGCUGCACCGUACGUGUGUUGAACGCGGAGGUGCCGUCCGUUCGGCACUCGGUCAUCGGUGAUUUGAAUCACGGCGAGUACGACUCCGUCAUCCACGUUCAUUGGAACGCUUCCGCUCGCGAUCUACAAGGGUAUGUAGAUGCACUCUUUUCCCCUCGUUGCUAGUAUACUCCAUAGAUGCAUCUUGGUGAACGUAGGAAAAUUUUAAAAUUAUGCUACGAUUCCCAACAGUUAGAUGCUCUUCCUCGCAGAUGUCCUGUAGCAAGGUUGACCCACUGAUCAUAUGGAGUGCCUAACAUAUCAUAAAAUUUCUCACAAGCAAUCUGCCAACCAAUUGGAUCCUCCCCACUGAACAAUGGUAUUUCUAAUCUUGGUCCUUUUAGCACAGCUUCAGCAAAAUAAGAAGGGCCUCCCAACUGUGUGGCAUGUUGGUUUCUUUGAGCAUCAUACAAGUUUCCUGCUGCUUGAUAAACUGGUGGCUGCACAGGUCCAUUUGUGGUCGUGUUAAUGUACUGACCUGUGAUAGGAUUAUAUGUAGGGAGUGGGUUAUACAGUGGUGCAGUUAUGGGAGCAAAAUACCCACUAUUGCCUGAAAAUCCCAGUGUAUGAGCUUGUACUGCCACACUAGUGUUUGCAGAAGAUAACCUGAACUUGUCUUGUGCUAUCUGCUCUUGCUGCUUAUCAGUAUGUAUCUUGGUACUUUCAGUGAACAUAUGUGUUGAAGGUAGUACUGAUGACACUCCUGACAUCUUAGUGACCGAAUUCUGUCCUUGUCCCAUGAACUCCUGGUGCAGAUUUCUGCUCACUGGUGGCUGAGUAACUCCUGGUUGCUCCUGACUCUUCUGCACAGGUGGAAUCUCUGUGCCUAACCCUGCACACACUGGAAUAGUUGUAUUUGGCGUAGCUGCUUCCACCUUCCCCUGGCUCAUGGACAUGUUUUGCAGUAUCAGAUUCAGAGUUUUCUGAAUUUCUGAAUUCAUCUCUGUUAGUUUUGCUUCUACUCAUGGCAUGGUCACCAUGUCAGAGCGUAACUGCUGUACUUCGGCUCGCAAUCCUUUCAUAUCCGCUAAUUCCUCCCUGAAAUCAGCCACCUCCUUUUCCAAUCUGUCCACUGUGAUCUGGACCUUAGCACGCGUGUCUGCCAUCUUCGGAUCUAGAGUGGAGACAGUGACCUCUGACCCGAUCUCGCCUCCUGUAACUUCGUUGCUCUGCAGGGAUUUUACAGCGAACCAACCUGCAGAAUCGCCCCGAAUUUUACGCCGCCAAAAGCACACGGAUCGUCGUAAGGGACAUGAAUUUUACCACGAGAAGAAUAUCUCCCCACAACCUUCCCGGACUCGUCGAUCUAUGCCCGAAUGUUCGCCGCCACCGUGUUCGCCUCCACAGACGUCACCACCGCCACCGCAAACAGGGAGGGACGGGAGGGAUUUUACGGGAGAACCCAACCCCUCGUUCUCCUCUGCUUGAUCCGCCGCCCUGCUUCGUCGAUGCCGAAAAUUGACUAGCUUCUGAUACCUUUGUGAGGACCGGAACGCAGGAAUUGCACCGAUCUAUCUGAAUUUCAUUGGAUCAGGGGAAUUUGAGGUUCUGUGCGGAUACAAUUUUGGGGAUCGGAGCCUAGAUACCCCGCCUUACAAGAUGAACUAGGGUUUCUACCUUUUUUUUGAGGGUCAAAGCAAUUGCUUUAUUACUCAACCAGGUUAGGCAAAUCGCCUAGUACAGGACCUGCCACAGAAGGCAGGACAUUAGCCUCCCACACAGUGGGUUCAUUCACAUUACAAUCAUAACCAAGUUUGGCCAGUUCAUGCGCCGCACAGUUGGCCUUUCUUCUACAUGCAAUAACCUCACAUCUUGAGAACCAUAGCUUCAUUUGGACCUUUAGGUCCUCCAGGACCGAUGCAUACGCCAUGAAACUGGGCUCCUAGGGUUUCUACCUAUGCUAAGGAAUUUGGGGAAAUAAUGACUUGCCCUCCUUCACGCGACGCACGCUACAUAUAACCUUUCCAGCUCAGUUGUAUUCACCGACAGUCACUUAACGGUUACAAUACAGUAAACGGUUUAAAACUACUGGAGACCGGCGAGGAUACAUCCGAGCCGUUAGAUCGCUUGAAACGCCAUCUUGCCAUCUCAGCCGUUGCUUGUCUGAAAACAAAGUUGGUGUCGAUCUUCAGUACGUCCGCGGUUCAGGGCCUGACACGAAAGCACCUCAAUCAAUCUCACAACGUCAACAGAUAGAUAGAUCGGGGGAACAAGGAAUCGGUGGCGCGCGCAUACCUUGACGGAGGGGACGGGACGGAUCGCGCGAGCUAAAGAUCGAUCGCUGUGUUGCGGUGGAGGAUUUUCUUUUUUCUCGAUCGGAAUCAGCUGGCGAGUGGAUUCGUUGAAAGCGGGGUCGAUGCGUCUGGGGGAAUUUAUAGAUGGGAGAAAGGAUACAGACCUGAACGUACCG